rnacentral:rRNA from 1 species
AGCGAACGCUGGCGGCAUGCCUAACACAUGCAAGUCGAACGAGACCUUCGGGUCUAGUGGCGCACGGGUGCGUAACGCGUGGGAACCUGCCCUUAGGUUCGGAAUAACUCCCCGAAAGGGGUGCUAAUACCGGAUAAUGUCUUCGGACCAAAGAUUUAUCGCCUUUGGAUGGGCCCGCGUUGGAUUAGCUAGUUGGUAGGGUAAAAGCCUACCAAGGCGACAAUCCAUAGCUGGUCUGAGAGGAUGAUCAGCCACACUGGGACUGAGACACGGCCCAGACUCCUACGGGAGGCAGCAGUGGGGAAUAUUGGACAAUGGGCGAAAGCCUGAUCCAGCAAUGCCGCGUGAGUGAUGAAGGCCUUAGGGUUGUAAAGCUCUUUUACCCGGGAUGAUAAUGACAGUACCGGGAGAAUAAGCUCCGGCUAACUCCGUG